CGAUAACGAACGAGACCUUAACCUGCUAAAUAGCCAGGCUAGCUUUGGCUGGUCGCCGGCUUCUUAGAGGGACUAUCGGCUCAAGCCGAUGGAAGUUUGAGGCAAUAACAGGUCUGUGAUGCCCUUAGAUGUUUUGGGCCGCACGCGCGCUCCACUGACAGAGCCAACGAGUUCAUUCCUUGACCGAAAGGUCUGGGUAAUCUUGUUAAACUCGGUCGUGCUGGGGAUAGAGCAUUGCAAUUAUUGCUCUUCAACGAGGAAUUCCUAGUAAGCGCAAGUCAUCAGCUUGCGCUGAUUACGUCCCUGCCCUUUGUACACACCGCCCGUCGCUACUACCGAUUGAAUGGCU
rnacentral:rRNA from 1 species